UACGUAGGGACCGAGCGUUGUCCGGAAUCAUUGGGCGUAAAGAGCGUGUAGGCGGCCCUUUAAGUCCUGCGUGAAAUCCUGCGGCUCAACCGCAGACGGUCGUGGGAAACUGGAGGGCUAGAGUGCGGGAGAGGAGAGUGGAAUUCCCGGUGUAGCGGUGAAAUGCGCAGAUAUCGGGAAGAACACCCGUGGCGAAGGCGGUUCUCUGGGACGGUACUGACGCUGAGACGCGAAAGCGUGGGGAGCGAACAGG
rnacentral:rRNA from 1 species